rnacentral:rRNA from 1 species
UAGGGUGCACGCGUUGUCCGGAAUUACUGGGCGUAAAGAGCCCGUAGGUGGUUUGUCACGUCGUCUGUGAGAUUCCACAGCUUAACUGUGGGCGUGCAGGCGAUACGGGCUGACUUGAGUACUGUAGGGGUAACUGGAAUUCCUGGUGUAGCGGUGAAAUGCGCAGAUAUCAGGAGGAACACCGAUGGCGAAGGCAGGUUACUGGGCAGUCACUGACGCUGAGGAGCGAAAGCAUGGGUAGCGAACAGGAUUAGAUACCCUGGUAGUCAAGGGCG